rnacentral:rRNA from 1 species
GUCGAGCGGCGGACGGGUGAGUAAUGCCUAGGAAUUCACCUGAAUAGUGGGGGAUAACCCAAUUGGAAACGAUGGCUAAUACCGCAUAACGCCUACGGGCCAAAGAGGGGGACCUUCGGGCCUCUCGCGUCCCGGAUAUGCCUAGGUCGGAUUAGCUAGUUGGUGAGGUAAGGGCUCACCAAGGCGACGAUCCCUAGCUGGUCUGAGAGGAUGAUCAGCCACACUGGAAUUGAGACACGGUCCAGACUCCUACGGGAGGCAGCAGUGGGGAAUAUUGCACAAUGGGCGCAAGCCUGAUGCAGCCAUGCCGCGUGUGUGAAGAAGGCCUUCGGGUUGUAAAGCACUUUCAGUCGUGAGGAAGGUAGUGUAGUUAAUAGCUGCAUUAUUUGACGUUAGCGACAGAAGAAGCACCGGCUAACUCCGUGCCAGCAGCCGCGGUAAUACGGAGGGUGCGAGCGUUAAUCGGAAUUACUGGGCGUAAAGCGCAUGCAGGUGGUUUGUUAAGUCAGAUGUGAAAGCCCGGGGCUCAACCUCGGAAUUGCAUUUGAAACUGGCAGACUAGAGUACUGUAGAGGGGGGUAGAAUUUCAGGUGUAGCGGUGAAAUGCGUAGAGAUCUGAAGGAAUACCGGUGGCGAAGGCGGCCCCCUGGACAGAUACUGACACUCAGAUGCGAAAGCGUGGGGAGCAAACAGGAUUAGAUACCCUGGUAGUCCACGCCGUAAACGAUGU